rnacentral:tRNA from 1 species
GCGCCCGUAGCUCAGCUGGAUAGAGCACCGACCUUCUAAGUCGGGGGUCACAGGUUCGAUUCCUGUCGGGCGUG